CCGAAAGAAGCAGAAAGAAGCAUUCUGGUGCGGCUUGCCAUUGUGUGGUGCUUCCCAGAGCACAGGGAGCUUCCGAGCAGCCUCUCGUUUGAUUCUCACCCUCAUCUUACCACUCCCCGGUUCACAGGUGAGGAAACAGAGGCUCAGGGAGGCUGGUCCGAGACCCCACUGUGAAUGGGAGAAGGGCACCCUCCUCUUGGCGUCUCCCUUGUGCAGAGAGGGAGGGACAGCCCUCCAGCUCUCUGGGGCAGAGCCAGAGGAGCCGGGUGCAGGGGCAGCUGCCGUGGAAAGGGGGUGGUCUCGGGGGAAGACGGGUAACUUUCUCUGACUCCAUCCAUACACACAGCCUCCCAUCCCGCACUCCACCCUCCAGGCUCAUUUCCUACCACUCCCAUUCACCUGGCUGUAGCCCAUGGGACUGCCCAGGUCUCUCCAAAUGAGGCCUCCCUUAUCCUGCACCCAAGGGCCCAAUGUCUCCUCCUCCAUCACCUCUCCCCAUGCCCCACCCUGUGUGAGUUUCCUGCCUCGGACUCCUGGCGCGUUUUGUCUCCCUGUCCUGUAAUUAACCGUUUUCUCCCCUAAAGUAGAAAUAGUUCUGUGUACCCUGCUUUCCCCUAGUUAGGCCAUAAGCUUGCAAGGUCGAGAAGCUAUCUUCCCGUGUGUAUAGCCCUAGAAGUUUCUAGCAGAGCAACAUACUAGUACAAGUGAAAACCACACGCAUCCCAGAACAGCGCCUUCUCUCAUGUGGGUGCUGAAGUUGAGGCUUUGAGGAAAAUGAAGAGAAGACAGGCCACUCAAAGGAGACGGAUACGUGCCCAGGCCCCUCCACACGCCCACUGGCCCAGGUAAGCCCAAAAUGUGGCCAACAUCACAGCCUUCAGAAAAGGGAGUCUUCUCUGACUUAAGGGAAGUAAACAGGAAGAGAAUGUCAUAAGAAGGCCGAGGAGUUCAGGGCAAGGACUCCUGAGGAACUGGAUGACUCUCUGUCCCUAUAAAUCGUUAGAAAGAAGAUGGGCUGCCUGCCAUUGGAUGGCAAUUGGGGGCAGCGUGACCCUGAGGACCACUCACCCUAUUUGCAGGGUCCAGGGCACAAGUACCAACAGAGGCCUAUGUCCCGUGUCUUCUUACUGAAAAGUGACAAAUCAAGCUAAUAAACUGAAUGCACACGUC